rnacentral:rRNA from 1 species
UACGAAGGGGGCUAGCGUUGCUCGGAAUCACUGGGCGUAAAGCGCACGUAGGCGGAUCUUUAAGUCAGGGGUGAAAUCCCAAGGCUCAACCUUGGAACUGCCUUUGAUACUGGGGAUCUCGAGUCCGGAAGAGGUUGGUGGAACUGCGAGUGUAGAGGUGAAAUUCGUAGAUAUUCGCAAGAACACCAGUGGCGAAGGCGGCUCACUGGCCCGGUACUGACGCUGAGGUGCGAAAAGCGUGGGGGAGCAAACAGGG